rnacentral:rRNA from 1 species
ACUAAAACCAGAUAGGCUAUUUUCCACGCAUGAGGGAGAUGAGAAAGGCGGAGCAAUCUGCCGCUUAUGGAUGGACCUGCGUCGCAUUAGCUAGUUGGAGUGGUAAAGGCACACCAAGGCGACGAUGCGUAGCCGACCUGAGAGGGUGAGCGGCCACACUGGGACUGAGACACCGGCCCAGACUCCGUACGGGAGGCAGCAGGUAGGGAAUCUUCCGCAAUGGACGAAAGUCUGACGGAGCAACGCCGCGUGAGUGAAGAAGGUUUUCGGAUCGUAAAGCUCUGUUGCCAGGGAAGAAGAGCAAGGAGAGGAACUGCUCCUUGAGUGACGGUACCUGAGAAGAAAGCCCCGGCUAACUACGUG